CGUAAUCGCCCCCCUCUCCGUAAUUAACCCGCUCCUAAUCGUCUCCUCCGUAUGGAAGAAGGAACCGCAGCACGGUGGUUAAAAAAACACAGCACCUCGCUUGAGAAACCUGCCCUCGCGCAUGCCGCCGCCGUCCGCACACGCCUACCCUGCGCCCUCGCCCUCGCCAUCGCCGAUUGCUCGGCACGCGGCCUCUCCGCAACGGAGGUAGAUCGGCAUCGCUGCACUGUCGCCAUCGAUCUCACUCUCGCCAUCGCCGUCGAUCUCACCCUCGCCAUCGUCGUCGAUCUCACCCUCGCCAUCGCCGGUUGCUCCUGGCGCUCUGCAACUGCUCCGAAAACUACGUCGUAGUGGACCGCAACUUCUUCAAUGCCUCCGCUCGUUGUUGCCACCAGGUGCGCGAAUCCCUUCCUGCUGCACGAAGAUGUCCUCCUCGAUGCCGAUGCAAGCGACAAACUCGAUCCUGCUCUCCUUUGGUUGGAGCGGGGCACCUAUGGAUGAUCGAUGGGAAUGUCCACGAAACCAUCGACUCUGCUUCAUGUCCUCCUCGCCGUCAGCUCUGCUUUGGAAGUUUGGACGGGGUGGGAGUGGCGUCUGCGGGGUAGUGGCAAGGAGGCAGCAGGCUGGCGGUGCUGGCAUGUCAGGAUGACCUCCAGAGGAAGGCCGGUGCAGCCGUGCAGGGGCAUUGCGGGCCCUGCAGCGGCGCUUGCCUGACCAACAUGUGUCUCCAUGCCACCAUCCCGCGAUGCGAGUGCCGCUCAUCCAAUCUCAAAAGUGUCUAAACUGAAAGGCUAACAAUUUGAGUGACCAUGUGCAAGAUGCCAAGAUGGGUACCCAGUUAAUCUGCACAUGUAUGAUCUCAGCCAUGGGAUGGCCUCGCAGCCCUCAGCGCCAAGCUGAUGAUCCUCGGCAAGGCCAUUGAGGCGAUUUGGGAACUGCCACCCCACUUAUUAUCAUGUUGUGUGGGAUGAGAAUAAUAUUACCACUCACUGAUGGUGAUUAUAAAACUCAGUCCAAAUUUUUUUGCAGUUUUUGGCCAUCUUGUCGAUCAAGGUAAAAGUACCUUGGCAUGGAUAUUAGGUCGGGAGCUCCACACAAGAGACAAGCUAACAUAUGUCCUUGAUUGUGAUAACUUAAGACAUGGCCUGAACAAGAGUUCUUGCCAUUAAAGCUGAAGAUCGUGCUAAAAAUAUAAGGAGAGGUGGUAACUAUCUGGCGAAGACGGACAUGUCUAUCAUAUUUAAUGGGACUCCCAUGAAAGUAAAACCAAGUCUUUCUCUUGUCAUUAUUUUAUCUUUCCAGCAUUUUGCAGUUCAUAUUUUCUUUCAGCUAUUUUGGAUAGGUGAAGUAGUAAAGUUAUUUGCCGAGGGAUUGGGAGUUUAGGAUUGAUAAGUCACUCCAUGCAAGCCAUUUUCUUUCCCCUUUGGUCUGAUCCAUCAUAAAUACUUGGGAUAUUUGGGUCUAAAAGGUUUAUGCUAUUAUCAGUGUCCUUGUGGCUAGCAGUGGAGAUGGAGAUCUCAAAGAAAGAACAUGGAGGUGAAUGAUUGAGAAAAUGUCACCAUAUGAUGGAUGAGUGAUUAUUGGAAGUUAAUCAUUUGCAGGUGCAUUCUUGCUUUUAGCUAUCUAUAUUUUUCCUACCUAUCUGGUUGGAUACGCAAUAUAUCUACAUGCAAAUUGUUUUAGGGGUGUUUAAUAUCUGAGGCUCAUGAUUUUUUUUCUAAAAUAUUGUGACUAUGAUGUGUGUCUUGCGUUGCCUGUGGAUCUUGGACGCAGAUCCAGCUAUUGAACACCCACUACCCCAUGUUAUUAUAUGAUACUUUCACAUUGCAUUUUUGUGUUGUUUUUUCCAUUGACAGAUGGAUGGAGACUAUUGGAUGUUAUCAAAUUGGCCAUUGAAUUCAGGGAAACCAUGCUGAAACUUGGAUGACACAAUUUCUAAACUAUAUGCUGAGAGCAUGCACAAUACUGAAAAGUGUUUGACAAAUUUGUUAAGUAUGGUGUUCUUUUAUUGAACUAGGUAGUACAAGAAGGUAUGAACGAAGUGCUAGGACUUCUAACAUUAUCAUUUACCUAAACCAAAUAUUGAUCUUUGACUUCUGA